rnacentral:ncRNA from 1 species
AUUGGGUUUGAUUUUUGCCUUAGAAAAUUUAGUUUGAAUUUAAUAUUAAAUGUAUUUACGUUAUAAAUUUAAUUUAUUCUUAAAGAGAAAUUAAGUUAUUUGCAAUAAAAAGUAUUAAAAAUUGAUGAGAGUUUGAUUUGGUUAUUUUCGUUAAAUAUUGAUUAAAUAUGUGCCAGCAGUCGCGGUUAGACAUAAAAUAUAAUUAAAUCUUAUUAGUUAAAAGUUGUUUAAUAAAAUAUAUUAAUUAAUUUGUAUAAUUAUUUUUAGGUGGAAUUUAAAUUUUUAUGGAGAUUAUUAUAAAUAUAAUGUAAGGAAGCUGUGAAAUUCAUUUAUUAAACUAGGAUUAGAUACCCUAUUAUUAUGAUUUUAAAAUUGUUAUACUUAGGUAGUAAUAGUUAAGAUCUUGAAACUUAAAGAAUUUGGCGGUAUUUUAGUCUAUUUAGAGGAAUUUGUCCCGUUAUCGAUAAUCCACGUUGAACCUAACUUUAAUUUAAGAAUAUGUAUAUCGCCGUUUAGAAGAUCUUUUUAGGGUUGUAUUUUCUUAAUAUUUAUUAAAUUGUAUUUCAGGUCAAGGUGCAGUUAAUAUUAAAGUGGAGAUGAAUUACAAUAUUUUAAUAUAUUAUGAAUUAUGAAUUGGAAAUAUAUUUAUAUGAAGGUGGAUUUAAUAGUAAUUUUAUAAAGAUUAUUAAUAUGAUUAUUAUUUAGCUCUAAAAUAUGUACAUAUUGCCCGUCACUCUCGUCUUAAGAUGAGAUAAGUCGUAACAAAGUAGGUGUACCGGAAGGUGUAGCUAGAAUGGAAUUUAU